rnacentral:lncRNA from 1 species
CUUCCAGGAAGGGGCUGGGAGAGGCCCCAGGAAUUGCAGAAGGCCCCAUCUCUCCUCUCCAAUAAAUCCACUGAGGCCAGCUGGUGUCUGUCCCAGGGAGCCAGGUCACAUCACCAGCCAGCAUGUGCCAGGAGCAGCUGUAGACUCGAGAGGGCAUCUGUGGCCACUCUCAUUUUUCCUAGUCCAUGGGGACGUUCUCUGUAUCUCCUCUCCAGCAUCCCAAGCGUGUCGCCGCAGCCAAAGCCAGUCGGCUCUUCUGAUUACUCCUACUCUGGCUGGUGCAGUGAGAACACCUUUCUCUGGAUGGGAGUCCCUGAUCGCGGCAGCAACAAGGCCAUCCUGCUGUAAGGGCGACGCAGAAGGGCGAGGCUGCAUUCGGGAUGAAGGUAGUGUCGCCCCCCAGGGCUCCAAGCGCCCAAGACUGACUCACGUUGCCACGCUCCUGUUUCUCCCGAUCACCCUAAGGCCUCUGGGUGACACAGGCGGCUCUUUCCAGAAUGCAAUAGUGCCCACCUUCACGGAGGGCAGCCUGGUUAGGCUCUGUGGCGGACGCUGUGGUCACGAGAUGAAAAGUGGUCUCUGCCUUUGAGGAAAUGCAUGUGGAGCAACAAUAGCAAAUAUCUGUAUAGAACCCUAGUUUGCAGAUCACGCUGCACGUAAGGUUUCACUUACUCUUUAC